rnacentral:lncRNA from 1 species
GGUGGCCCUGAUCCCGAUGACUCUGAAACAUGCUUGCCCUUCCCCAGAGGUUCCUGCUCCCAGCCCAGGCCCAGAUGGCGACACAAGCUCAUGUCCCCAGCCCCCACAGAAAGACCCAAUUACAGAAGGGAGAAGUAUGUGGAGACCCUUAGCUGAGGUUGGGGGACCUGAAAGCUGGAGGGGAGUGAAGGGACAGGAUGGAGCGGGGGUGGCGCCAAGGCACGGGGAGAACCAGAGGCCGCGGGAAUGGCAGACUCUGGACGUGCUCCUAGAGAUGGGAGGUCAAAAUGAUCAACGUCCAGGGUCCCUUCAUCUCAGAGGGUCUCGAGUCACUUCAUUUAAAGUAUGGCCUGGGAGAUCUCCCAUCCAGCCAUACGCUGCCCAGGACUGGCUCAACACCUCCCACCCACCACCGCUGGUUCACCCAUGACACGUCACCUCCCACCCGCCACUACUGGCUCACCUGUAACACCCCAGGCAGCUCAGAUGCCCAGCAGGUCCUGCUGGUGAGAGGGAGGCCGCAACCUGUCCUGUCUGGGACCUGGGCAUUGCUGGGCGCCG